rnacentral:rRNA from 1 species
ACUCCUACGGGAGGCAGCAGUGGGGAAUCUUGGACAAUGGGCGCAAGCCUGAUCCAGCCAUGCCGCGUGAGUGAUGAAGGCCUUAGGGUCGUAAAGCUCUUUCGCCAGGGAUGAUAAUGACAGUACCUGGUAAAGAAACCCGCCGUCAUACUCCGUGCCAAGCAGCCGCGGUAAUACGGAGGGGGUUAGCGUUGUUCGGAAUUACUGGGCGUAAA